rnacentral:rRNA from 7 species
AGUCUAGCAUGUGCGCGAGUCAUUGGGACUCAAUAAACCUAAAGGCGCAAUGAAAGUGAAAGUCUGUUUACGCGGACUUAGGGAGGAUAGGUGCGUACACAUUGUGUACAACCUCGCACUCCCGGGGCGUCUCGCACUCAUUGCGAGGUGGGGCGCACCAAGAGCGUACACGCUGGGACCCGAAAGAUGGUGAACUAUGCCUGGUCAGGACGAAGUCAGGGGAAACCCUGAUGGAGGUCCGUAGCGAUUCUGACGUGCAAAUCGAUCGUCGGAACUGGGCUUAGGGGCGAAAGACUAAUCGAACCAUCUAGUAGCUGGUUCCCACCGAAGUUUCCCUCAGGAUAGCUGGCACUAGAUUAUGGAUGAGUCUCAUCCGGUAAAGCGAAUGAUUAGAGGCAUUGGGGUCGAAACGGCCUCAACCUAUUCUCAAACUUUAAAUGGGUGAGAUCUCCGGCUUGCUCGAUUUAUGAAGCCGGAGAUCGGAUCAAUUAGUGCCAAGUGGGCCACUUUUGGUAAGCAGAACUGGCGCUGUGGGAUGAACCAAACGCAGAGUUAAAGCGCCAAAAUCGACGCUUAUGGGAUACCAUGAAAGGCGUUGGUAACUUAAGACAGCAGGACGGUGGCCAUGGAAGUC